rfam:Triticum aestivum genome assembly, contig: Triticum_aestivum_CS42_TGACv1_scaffold_424599_5BS
AUCCGACUCCCUCCGUUCGGAAUUACUUGUCUCGAAAAUGGAUGUAUCUAGAACUAAAAUACAUCUAGAUACAUCCAUUUCUAUGACAAGUAAUUCCGAACGGAGGGAGUAUGAG